rnacentral:rRNA from 1 species
CCUACGGGUGGCUGCAGUGAGGAAUAUUGGUCAAUGGGCGCGAGCCUGAACCAGCCAAGUAGCGUGAAGGAUGACUGCCCUACGGGUUGUAAACUUCUUUUAUAAAGGAAUAAAGUGAGGCACGUGUGCCUUUUUGUAUGUACUUUAUGAAUAAGGAUCGGCUAACUCCGUGCCAGCAGCCGCGGUACUACGGAGGAUCCGAGCGUUGUCCGGAUUUAUUGGGUUUAAAGGGAGCGUAGAUGGGUUGUUAAGUCAGUUGUGAAAGUUUGCGGCUCAACCGGAAAAUUGCAAUUGAUACUGGCAGCCUUGAGUACAGUUGAGGUAGGCGGAAUUCGUGGUGUAGCGGUGAAAUGCUUAGAGAUCACGAAGAACUCCGAUUGCGAAGGCAGCUUACUAAACUGCCACUGACGUUGAUGCUCGAAAGUGUGGGUAUCAAACAGGAUUAGAUACCCGAGUAGUC